CAGUCGCCGCGGUAAUACGGAGGGUGCAAGCGUUAUCCGGAUUUAUUGGGUUUAAAGGGUCCGUAGGCGGACUUAUAAGUCAGUGGUGAAAGCCUGUCGCUUAACGAUAGAACUGCCAUUGAUACUGUAAGUCUUGAGUAUAUUUGAGGUAGCUGGAAUAAGUAGUGUAGCGGUGAAAUGCAUAGAUAUUACUUAGAACACCAAUUGCGAAGGCAGGUUACCAAGAUAUAACUGACGCUGAGGGACGAAAGCGUGGGUAGCGAACAGGAUUAGAUACCCCUGUAGUCCCUGUCUCUUAUAC
rnacentral:rRNA from 1 species